UGAGGAAUACAUCGGAAUCUACUUUUUCGUGGGGGAUAACGUAUGGAAACUUACGCUAAUACCGCACACGACCUACGGGUGAAAGCAGGGGAUCUUCGGACCUUGCGCGAUUGAAUGAGCCGAUGUCGGAUUAGCUAGUUGGCGGGGUAAAGGCCCACCAAGGCGACGAUCCGUAGCUGGUCUGAGAGGAUGAUCAGCCACACUGGAACUGACACACGGUCCAGACUCCUACGGGAGGCAGCAUUGGGGAAUAUUGGACAAUGGGCGCAAGCCUGAUCCAGCCAUACCGCGUGGGUGAAGAAGGCCUUCGGGUUGUAAAGCCCUUUUGUUGGGAAAGAAAUCCAGCCGGCUAAUACCUGGUUGGGAUGACGGUACCCAAAGAAUAAGCACCGGCUAACUUCGUGCCAGCAGCCGC
rnacentral:rRNA from 1 species